AACUAGCCCCGAUAGUAGUGGAAAUCCUUUUUUAGUUUGUACUUCGACAGGCUCAGUAUGACAAACUAAAAAAGAUUGCAACGGAUAGCGGGAAUAGCU
rnacentral:sRNA from 1 species